rnacentral:lncRNA from 1 species
GGAUGCUUCACGCAGUAAGCGAGUAAGCGAGCCCUGGAGACCGGGGCCCUGGGUGUGCGGUCGGCUCAGUGCCACGCGGUGAGAUAGGCAUGGUUAUCAACCCACGCCAAGGCGGUUGUGUACCUGGCAUAGAAAACACUGCUGUUGAAUGUUGUUUCCAUAGUCAUUCGCCAGCGUCCACUGAUGAGAGGUGCCACCACGGACACCCGGCCUUGCUCCGUCGAAGCUUUGGUCCAUUAGGACCAAAGUCAGGCCCCAGCGGGCCUCCCUGCCAUUCCUGGACGGCCUCGCGUCCUCCCAGAGCCUGACCUUCUCUUAUCUCUGCAGCCUAAGUCGCGGAAGCGUAGACACCCGGCUUUUCCCGCGUGCUCUAUCGGGCUCCCCUGGACACGGAGGGUGGAGCAGAAAGAGCAGAGGGGCCGGUGGGAGCCAUGGGGAGUCCGCCUAGCUCCAGAGGACACCUUACCUGGAUCCGCCUUUGUAGCCUCCUCCUGGCUCUGGGGGCUGUCCUGUGGGGUCCGAGUAGCUGAAAGACAGCCCCUCCAUGUGAGGAAGCCCCCAACUGGGGAAAACCCCCUCGUGGACUCAUUCCUGUCCCUGCAUGUGGCCUUCACCUGACUGUCUGCAUUGAGGCAUCCUCUGCCAAGAGCAAUUUCAAAGUGGAAAGUGCUGCUUUCAACAUCUGCCACAUUUGCAAGAAGAGCAAAGGUGGCCCAUUUGAGACCACCCUUGAACUAAACCAUCCAGUGAGCCCCUGAGGUCGGGACAGAAGUGGCCAUGACCUUCCUCAAGCAGGGACUGUGGUGGAGCCCACCUUAUCCAGCACAAGGUGGCCUGCUGACUUCUGGUGACAGUGAUGCCAACUUCCUGGCUGUCCAAGGUUCAAAUCUUGGUCUUAAUCCUCCUGGCCUUCUCUCAUCAAUGGCCAGAGCCACCCUAGCUAACAAGGUGCCCAGGGACUCCGGGGUGGGAGAAGUCCAGCUUCUUCUUAGCUGAGGACAUUUGAGUCUCGUCACAGCCCCCAAAAGAAUACUCAUUUUUGUAGCUGGAGGGCCUGGCCUCUGUCUAUCUUUGCUUUUCCAGAAGCUGACAAGUACCUGCCGGAAAAACUGCCUCUUUUCCCUCCCGUGCUUGGAGCAGGCAUUGCUGACAGAUCACAGCUGCUGGGCCCAAAGGUCCCUUUGCACGCGGGACUUCAGGAAGUUGCUGCUGACCUAUGGGAGUUGGUGCAGAAAGAUGAAAUUUGUUAUCCUUGGCUGUAUCAACUCUCUCUCCUCUCCUUGGUGGUGAUAGUUUUGUUCUUAAAAGCCUCUUGUGAGAGAAUUUGUGGAUGAAGAACCUGUAAGAUCA